CACCACGUUAGAUGGUUGCAUGGCAGCCCAAUGCGAAAUUCCAUCUCUAUCCUUGCACGAUUGUAAAAGGGAGAUUCAGCCCGCACAGGAUUUUCAUUUCACUCCUGGCUUGCCUCUCUAGUUCGUCUCUCCAUCUCCCUGUAGCUUUGAUUUCAUCAGCAGUAGUGGAACGAUGUCACCGAUGUGAGAACGAAUGGUAUAGGGUUUGGAUUGAGGGAUUCAUGGCACCACCCGAAUGCCCGCCAUGCUUGCUUGCUUUGAUAUGCAGGUGCAAAUAAAGUCUGAUAAGCAUGAAUGUACCUCUACCAAUAGAGUUCUUGGAAGAAUGGCAACUCAAGCAUGGGUGGCUGACAGGGUUGCUACAACAUUGAGGAAGAAGCCGAGCAUAGGUGCUAAGGAACUUAAGAACAUGUUAGAAGAAAAAUACAAGGUACAAAUUCCUUAUGCCACUGUUUGGAAGGGUAAAGAGAGGGCAAUCAAGAAUAUAUGGGGUUCAUGGGAUGAUGGCUUUGAUUCGUUGUAUAAUUUUAAGGCUGAGAUAGAGUUGAUGUGUCCCGGCGGUUUAGUUGAGAUUGGGACCAAGAAAAUAGAUGGUAAAGUUCACUUUGAUCGAUUUUUUUGUUGCUUUCAGCCUUGUGUAAGGGGAUUCUUAUUAGGAUGUAGAAAAUAUCUUAGCAUUGAUUCUACUGCCCUCAAUGGGAAGUGGAAUGGUCACAUGGCAGCUGCAAAUGCUUUAGAUGGUCACAAUUGGAUGUACCCUGUGGUCUUUGGAUUUUUUGAUGCGGAAACUACUGAUAAUUGGACUUGGUUCAUGGAACAACUAGCAAUAUGUAUAGGCAAUGUGGAAGACCUAGCUAUAUGUACAGAUGCUUGCAAGGGUCUAGAGAAUGCAGUUGAGCGAGUGUUCCCUAACUGUGAGAAGAGGGAAUGCUUUAGACACUUGAUGGGGAACCUAGCAAAGAGAAAAACCGGGACAGUGUAUGGAAACCUAUGGCCAGCAGCUAGAGCAUAUAGGUCUGAGUAUAUGAAUACCACCUGAACAAGGUCUUAGAAGCUGAUUCUGAAGUUGAAAGGUGGUUGCAAACACAUCAUAGUCUCCUAUGGGCAAGAUCCAAAUUUUCGACCAAGAUAAAGUGUGACUUCAUCACUAACAAUGUUGCUGAGUCAUGGAAUGCGUGGAUCAAAGAAUUCAAGGAGCUGCAAGUUGAUGCUCUAGCAGAUGCAAUCAGGGAGAAGACAGUAGUUUUGUGGGCAAGAAGAAGGAAGAUCGGUGAAAGGUUGAAAGGUAGAAACAUACUACCUGCAAUUGUCACACAACUAAAGGCAUCCACUAGAGGCUUAGGAAACAUGAGGGUCAUGAAGGGUGCAGAUGAUACAACAGAAGUUACUGAGCUCCACAAUGGUGUUGAUGUCUUUAGGCAUGUGGUCUAUCUUGACCAGCAGAAGUGUACAUGUAGAGAGUGGCAGUUAACUGGAAAGCCAUGCCCUCAUGCUCUUGCAGCCAUUUCUACACAGAGAAAUCCUAUCAUGGAUGACUAUGUAGACCCUAUUUUCUCUGUUAAUUGCUUUAGGGUUGCAUAUGAAGGUGUUAUCCCCUGCAUAACCGAUAAGUCUUAAUGGCCAACAGUGGAUAAAGGGUUCAGGUUGCUCCCACUAGUGCCCAGGCCUAGAACUGUUCCUAGGCAAAGGAAGAAUAGAAUUCCUUCAUUUCGUGAGAAAGGAAAAGGAAAGAUUAGACGACAGGUGAAAUGCCCUAGAUGUGGAGAACUAGGCCAUAGACAAAGUAGCAAAAAAUGUGCUUUGAAUGGCACCAAAAUGAGGAAGAGAAAGACAAAAAAGACUACUCCAAAGGCUAGGAAAAAUAAGACUGCAAUGGAUGAACUCCAAACUCUACCAAGAUCAAAAAUUGCAAGAGCUCAAGUAGCAGAUAGCCCUGGUAGAGUCACUAGGAGUCAAACUGCUCUUUUGUCUGUUGGGGUAACACAAGGGGCUGCUGGAACACCACCAAGUGCAGCUGUACAAGUAGGCUCACAGCCUUCACCUGGGCCAGUGACAAGGAAGCAAUUGGCUAUGUUCCAAGCACCACCAACAGCAGCAUAGUCACCAGCACAUGCGAACAAGAAACCCAUCAAGAAGCUCACUCCUAAAAAGAGGAAGAAUCACUAAUGCAAACAGUGAUCUUAGUUGUCUUUUGAGGUCCAAAAACAUGUUAAACAUUAUUAUCAUGUGAUUGUGGGAACCUAUUUUACUUUUGUUGUAUGCACUGAGAAUAUGGUAUAUCUGGACAUAUAUGUUGGUGGCAAGGACCAUGUUAUGCCAGGCAUGUUUCAUCUAGAAAAUGUUAGGAAAACUAGGUUUAAACCUAUGACAUGUUGCUUUUGUUGCAUGAAGAGAUUGGUAUGUACUGUGCUUGUUAGGGAAAUAUGUGUUUAUUUCCUAUGUUAUAUUGAUGUAUAAAUUUGGGAGUUAAGCUUGUGAAUGGAUGUGUAUAU